rnacentral:lncRNA from 1 species
UGUAAUCCCAGCACUUUGGGAGGCUGAGACAGGUGGUGGAUCGUCUGAGAUCAGGAGUUCGAGACCAGUCUGACCAACAUGGUGAAACCCCAUCUCUACUAAAAAUACAAAAAUUAGUUGGAUGUGAUGGUGGGCACCUGUAAUCCUAGCUACUUGGGAGGCUGAGGCAGGGGAAUCAUCGCUUGAACCCGGGAGGCAGAAGUUGCAGUGAGCCAAGAUCAUGCCAUUGCAUUCCAGCCUGGGGCACAAGAGCAAAACUCUGUCUCAAAAAGAAAAAAAAAAAAAGUCAGUAACCAGGUUGUGUCCCACAGAGCUUUACUGGGGGCCAAACACUGUCAACCCCUCCUCAGGUCCGUGUGAGCCUGUGCACCUGACCUUCUGACAGAGUCAGCGGUGAGCAGGGCGUCCCCCACCAGGUCCCCAUACUUUGCUCCCAUGGGUUUCCUAUGGAAUGUUCCUGCCUCAACUUCUGAUAGCCUCUUGCUAGGGAGUCCCAUCCUUAGCCCUUGCCUCCCUGUGCUGCUUUACCUUCUUUUUGGAAGGAUAACUGCCCUCUGUUUUCAGCACCCCAAUGAGAAAGAAUAAGCAGUGUCAGUGAUUCCUGAUGUGUGGAACCAUCUGAUGAAUGAGGAGUUUGGGUAAAAAAUAAAGGGAACUGAUGAAAACCACUUCUGUGUGAAGCACAGUGGUGUGUGCCUGUAGUCCCAGCUACUCGGGAAGGUGAAGUGGGAGGACUGCUUAAGCCCGGGAGUUGGACAUCGGUCUUGAAAAGAUAGUGAGACUCAAUCUAGAAAACAGAAACAAAAACACUUCUGACUGUUGUCUGCCUGUGGGUUUCUGACUCUGCUCCCAGACUUAUGGCGAGAACUUUGCUAACUCGGGAGCCCACAAGAAUGAAGUUUUUGCCAAAUUUUGGCCCCGAGUUCCUCUAAAACGUAAUGGAGACCUAACCCCAUGCUUGUUAAGACCCUCUUUCUGCCCUACCAUGAUUACCAAAUCUCUGCUGAGGUUGUAAGAUAAGGUGAUCUUGGGGAAACAAGGACAAAUGGGGGAAGGAAAUAGGGCUGGACAGGCCCAAGCAUUCACAGAGGCCAGGGCUGGGAGUAGGUAGGGGCCUGCUUCAUUUGAGAAUAAUUAUGAAGGACAAUAGGGUUUCAACAGGGGGACAGUACCGGUAUUCAAAGCAAAGCAAAAGAUGUAAGUGAAAGAUGUAAGUGGACUGGUGCAAUGGGUCAUGCUUAUAAUCCCAGUACUUUGGGAGGCCAAGGCAGGAGGAUCACCAGAACUGAGGUGAUCGAGACCAGCCUGAGCAACACAGUGGGACCCUGUCUCUACCAAAAAAACCUUUAAAUUAGCUGGGCAUGGUGACUACUGUAGUUUCAGCUACUCAGGAGGCUGAGGCAGGAGGAUCACUUGAGCCUGGGAGGUCAAGGCUACAGUGAGCCUGGGUAACAGAGUGAGACCCUGUCUCAAAAAAAAAAAA